rnacentral:lncRNA from 10 species
AUGCCGCCCCCGCUGCCGCUGCUGCUCCUUACAGUCCUGGUCGUCGCCGCUGCCCGGCCGGGGUGCGAGUUUGAGCGGAACCCCGCCGGUGAAUGCCACAGGCCACCAGCUGCAGACAGCGGUACAGUACCGGGACCUCCCUGGCUUCUGUUCUGUAGGAGGGCUGCAGCCCCCACACUGUCAGAGCACUUUAGGCAGCUGAAUCCGUGAUUUCAGAAGUGGGUAAUGGAUAACACAGCCCAUUAAUCAAACUAGAACCCCCUCGUAAACAGCCAGAGAAAAAUUAGACAUAACAAAAAAAGACCAGCUAGGAAAAGGUGCACCAGCUUCCCACCGGGCUAUGCCCACCCCAGCCCCUGCAGAGAUGUCCUCUCCAUCCCUCUCCAGUCCCCACUGCAGUCACACGUCCUGCAUUUGGGCCUUGUCCACAUGCAUUUCAUGGUCACUGGCUCUGUGCCGGGCCCCUGCUGAGUCUGGGGUUUGGGUGAGUCACCUCCCCCGCCAGGCCCCGAUUUCCUCCUUGUGACAGGAGGAGUGCUGAACGAAUCUUGUGAGAUGGUUUCAAAAGUGACGUGGGAGCCAACCAAUGUGAAGUGC